GAUGAACGCUGGCGGCGUGCCUAAUACAUGCAAGUCGAGCGAACAGACGAGGAGCUUGCUCCUCUGACGUUAGCGGCGGACGGGUGAGUAACACGUGGAUAACCUACCUAUAAGACUGGGAUAACUUCGGGAAACCGGAGCUAAUACCGGAUAAUAUAUUGAACCGCAUGGGUGAAUAGUGAAAGACGGUUUUGCUGUCACUUAUAGAUGGAUCCGCGCCGCAUUAGCUAGUUGGUAAGGUAACGGCUUACCAAGGCAACGAUGCGUAGCCGACCUGAGCGGGUGGUCGCCCACACUGGAGCUGAGCCGCGGUCCAGGCUCCUACGGGAGGCAGCAGUAGGGAAUCUUCCGCAGAGGGCGAAAGCCUGACGGAGCAGCGCCGCGUGAGUGAUGAAGGUCUUCGGAUCGUAAAACUCUGUUAUUAGGGAAGAACAAAUGUGUAAGUAACUAUGCACGUCUUGACGGUACCUAAUCAGAAAGCCACGGCUAACUACGUG
rnacentral:rRNA from 1 species